AGUCCGCAGUUGGUUAGAAUGCCGGCCUGUCACGCCGGAGGUCGCGGGUUCGAGUCCCGUCCGGUCCGCCA
rnacentral:tRNA from 1 species